UCUUCAACUGAGACGCGGAAAACUCAAGCCUGCAGACAGCAACAGCAUUGAGAAAAAAUUAAAAGUAGGCUUUCUAGUAGUAGCAUACCAUUUUUGUGUUCUUUAAAUGACGGGUAACCAGGGCAACAUUAUAAAAACCUGCCUAAAAUUAUAUUAUCACUUUUAAAUAGCGUAUAGCUGCAACAACAGCACGCAAAGCAGUUGCAGAAUACAGUACCACAGGCAGUGUCUCUAGAUCUAGCUACUUUUGGGUUCCCUUAGCGACAAAAACAUUGUCAAAGGGACUAGCGACAAAUCUAGCGACUUUCACUGCCGACAACAACGAUUUUCAGGGAAAGAAGUAGCCAAAUUGUAUCAUCACAACAUCAGUCACAAGCAGCUCAAUACACCACGCAUCUCCCGUCCUAAAGUAGUACAGUGGUGGCGUUCUUGUAGCGCGGAUUUCGACAGUUCUGGACAGAAUCGCGGAUAUGCACAUUCUUCGAGGGCUUUCAACUCCACCUGUAGAAAUCUGUGCAUAUCCUGCACAGCCCAGCGCAGCUUUGAAAAGUUGUUGCGGAGACUGGUUGCAUCUGUGAAACAAAGAGAUCACGAGUGUAUGGAGGAUAUUCUAUGCCACAAUUAAAAAUAAAUAAACAAAUACAUAAAUGUAGAAAUAAAUAAAUACAUGUUUAAAUAAAUACAUGGACAUGUAUUUAUUUAUUUAUUUAUUUAUUUAUGUAUUUAUUUUUUAUUUUUGUUUAUUCGUUUAUUUAUUUGUUUAUUUAUUUAUUUCACUUUUGCCCCCUGCUUUUUACAUUUCACUCUGUCCAUUUACAUUUCGGCGACGACAUUUCCUUUUCUGCUCGCUGUUUACAUUUCGAUGUCACACUAGCUGGUUCUUUUUACAUUUCACUGUGCCAAACUACUUCUGUCAAUCACAGACAGUUUGACUAAAGUUAGUUUAUCAAACACAGCCUGUCCUGUGUCGUAUUUUUUUUUCGUUGAGAAAUACACAUACAUGUUUGUAGUGUCUCACUACUUAAUUUGAAAUAAUUUGCAGCAAAAAUUAAAUGACAAUUGUGAAUCAAAUUGAUGUAAACUCUGUGUCUCACAACUACGAUAUAUAUUUUUUACCGUGUAAAAUCAUAAUUGUAAUGUUAAGCCCCAUGUUAGUGGGGCAAGGGGGCAUUUGUGUGUGUAUCGUGUUUUGGUAAUUUACGAUAUAAGAAAAAAGCCGCCUUUUUUUACUUUGUCUUCCCGCUGAUUUAAAUGAGAGGUCCCGACAAUUAGAUUUUAACAGAACAGUGAGGUAUGAGCGUACAGGGAAAGAAAGUUCACAGUGAGCUAUCUACUUUUAAUUACGAGGUGCAUUGCUAUUGAUUAUGGUUUAAAAGCGAAAAGGACGACAAAGAAAACUAGAACCUCUAUUUUUAAGUUUGUUCUGUCAGGUAAAUUAUAAAUUGUGUGUAAAUGAAUAAGCCACUCAAAUAUAAUAUUUAUAUUUGUUAUUAAGUGGAAAGUGAUUGGUUCAAAUUUGCAAAUGAUGAUCACGUGUGAUUCUGGCGGGGUCAGGUGGCUGCAGGUGCUUGUGCUAAUUAAUUUACCAUCAUGGCUGCAAGAAGCGAAGUCUUGUAUGGAGCUACUUUGAGCCAAGCCGAGACGAAUUGGUUAAAGCAGUUUGCAAUAUCUGCAAAUGCAAAAUCUAGCACUAUGGGAACACGAGUAAUUUUAUUUAAGCACUUAAAGCUGAAACACCCCGUAGAAUUUGCUGAACUCGAGGCAAAAAAGCGACUCAAGAUAAAGAAGCUGCCCCUGCUGCAACGUCAAUGAGACAGCCCUCUGUACAAGAAGCGUUCCAGAGAACCCCAGGACAAUAUCCAGGUAAUACUGAGAUGAUUCUCCAAGAGCAAAAGCCAUUUCUGACACCCUAGUAAAAAUGAUAGCAGUCAGUUUCUAUUGUUGAAGAUGUUGGUUUUCAGAAGUUUAUAAAGGUGCUUGAUCCCCCGUAUAAGAUUCCAAACAGGAGAUCUCUGAUGCGCACUGAGCUCCCUCAACUAUAUGAUGAAGUGAAGAGAUCACUAGAAGCUGCAAGUGACGUUGUUCUGACUUAAGAUAUGUGGACAUUAAGAACAACAGAGGCAUAUCUAACUGCCUCAUGUCAUUACAUGCAGUCCCACAUUUUGGAAACAUUGCACAUCCCUGGACAGCACACUGCAGACAACAUUGCUGAGCAUCUGAUAAGAAUGGCAGUAGAUUGGGACAUUAACCACAAAGUCCAAGCUGUGAUUACAGAUAAUGUGGCAAACAUAGUGGCUGCAGUGCGCAAAGCACGAUGGAAACAUAUUCCAUGUUUUGCACAUACUUUGAACUUCGUUGUUAAAGACGCCAUAAAGGCUGAUCCUAGCUUGGAUUCCCUUCUGCAGAAAUGUAGUGCCAUCAUUUGAUUUUUCCAUCACAGCACAAAAGCAGCAGAGAAGCUCAGAGAAAUUCAAAAUCAGCUGAAGAUGCCGGAACAUAAAUUAAGUCAGUCAAAACUAGAUAGAAUUCCAUCUUUUACAUGUUGGAGAGAAUUGCAGAACAGCAGCAGGCUAUUACCACUUAACUUUGUCUUCUUGGAAGGAACACAUUGUGCUUAAGUGAAGAAGAAUUGGCACAGAUUAGGUCCACAAUUAAUGCUCUAAAACCCUUUGAAGAAGCAACACGGGAGGUAUCAGCAGAAAACUACUGAGCAACCUGCAAAUCCUGAUGGUGGAAUGUGGGCAGAAUUUGAUUCCCAAGCAUUUGCAUCCCAGCAGCAUCAUGCAGUAACCAUUGAAGCACAUAUAGAAAUGCGCAGAUACAGUGAGGAAAAGGUGAUGGCAAGAAAUGAAGAUCCAUUACAAUGGAGGAAGUCCAAUGAAUCAACAUUCCAGAGUCUUGGCAAAAUUGCUCUCAAAUACCUUGGAAAAGUCCAAGGGGGGUGAAUACUUUUGAGAGCCACUGUAAAUACUCACAAAUACAUUGAAGUUAGUUGCCUCAUCAGUCACCUCGGAGAGUCUUUUGGAAGGUAGGGAAAGUAGUUGGUCAGAGACAAAAUCAGAUGAAACCAAAGCCCCUCAUCCUUAUGCUGUUAAACCUUUUUUUUUUUCCCCCCAUUCAGUCCUCUUCGUUCUACACUUCUUGGUCUUGGGCUGUAUAUUUUGUCUCCCCUCAGGACAUGCCGAUGGACUGGAGCUCGGCUUCCAGCCUGAAAAUGAUUCAACUUUAAUAAUCCUAAAACAGUCCAAGUUGUGUUUUUGUUUCCAGAGAUUGUUUUUGUUAAUGCUAUUACUGCUGUAAUAUAAUUAUUCAAUGUUUUAUGUUUAUUUGUUUAUUUGAUUCUGUUAUUUGUUUGUGUAUUUGUUUGCAAUCAUAUUAUAACCUUGCUAUAUUAAUCUGAAUAUUUACUAUAAAAGUGGUUUGCUUUU